rnacentral:rRNA from 1 species
UACGGAGGGUGCAAGCGUUAUCCGGAUUCACUGGGUUUAAAGGGUGCGUAGGAGGGCAGGUAAGUCAGUGGUGAAAUCUCCAAGCUUAACUUGGAACUGCCGUUGAUACUAUCUGUCUUGAAUGUUGUGGAGGUGAGCGGAAUAUGUCAUGUAGCGGUGAAAUGCUUAGAUAUGACAUAGAACACCAAUUGCGAAGGCAGCUCACUACACAAUUAUUGACUCUGAGGCACGAAAGCGUGGGAUCAAACAGG